rnacentral:misc_RNA from 1 species
GAUGAAGAACGUAGCGAAACGCGAUACGUAAUGUGAAUUGCAGAAUUCAGUGAAUCAUCGAAUCUUUGAACGCACAUUGCGCCCGCCAGUAUUCUGGCGGGCAUGCCUGUUCGAGCGUCAUUUCAACCCUCAAGCCCCCGGGCUUGGUGUUGGGGAUCGGCGUGCCCUCGCGGCGCGCCGUCCCCUAAAUCUAGUGGCGGUCUCGCUGUAGCUUCCUCUGCGUAGUAGCAACACUCGCACUGGAUCGCAGCGCGGCCACGCCGUUAAACCCCCCACUUCUGAAAGUUUGACCUCGGAUCAGGUAGGAAUACCCGCUGAACUUAAGCAUAUCAAUAAGCGGAGGA